rnacentral:rRNA from 1 species
ACGCUAGCUACAGGCUUAACACAUGCAAGUCGAGGGGAAACGGCAUUAAGUGCUUGCACUUUUUGGACGUCGACCGGCGCACGGGUGAGUAACGCGUAUCCAACCUUCCCAUGACUAAGGGAUAACCUGCCGAAAGGCAGACUAAUACCUUAUGGUCUUCACUGACGGCAUCAGAUGUGAAGUAAAGAUUUAUCGGUUAUGGAUGGGGAUGCGUCUGAUUAGCUUGUUGGCGGGGUAACGGCCCACCAAGGCAACGAUCAGUAGGGGUUCUGAGAGGAAGGUCCCCCACAUUGGAACUGAGACACGGUCCAAACUCCUACGGGAGGCAGCAGUGAGGAAUAUUGGUCAAUGGGCGAGAGCCUGAACCAGCCAAGUAGCGUGCAGGAUGACGGCCCUAUGGGUUGUAAACUGCUUUUGUAUGGGGAUAAAGCCAAUCACGUGUGAUUGUUUGCAGGUACCAUACGAAUAAGGACCGGCUAAUUCCGUGCCAGCAGCCGCGGUAAUACGGAAGGUCCGGGCGUUAUCCGGAUUUAUUGGGUUUAAAGGGAGCGUAGGCUGGAGAUUAAGUGUGUUGUGAAAUGUAGACGCUCAACGUCUGACUUGCAGCGCAUACUGGUUUCCUUGAGUACGCACAACGUUGGCGGAAUUCGUCGUGUAGCGGUGAAAUGCUUAGAUAUGACGAAGAACUCCGAUUGCGAAGGCAGCUGACGGGAGCGCAACUGACGCUGAAGCUCGAAGGUGCGGGUAUCGAACAGGAUUAGAUACCCUGGUAGUCCGCACAGUAAACGAUGGAUGCCCGCUGUUGGUACCUGGUAUCAGCGGCUAAGCGAAAGCAUUAAGCAUCCCACCUGGGGAGUACGCCGGCAACGGUGAAACUCAAAGGAAUUGACGGGGGCCCGCACAAGCGGAGG